rnacentral:tmRNA from 1 species
AACCAAUUAAGCGCCGAUUCUCAUCAGCGCGACUACGCACUCGCUGCCUAAGCGACUGCGUGUCUGUCAGACCGGGACCUCCCGCGGCCCGGACCCUGGCAUCAGCUAGCGGGAUCAACCGGUGGCUUCGGCCGCGGAGGCCACCGGGACAUCAAACAGCGGCUGGGAUCGUCAUCUCGGCUUGUUCGCGGGACCGAGAGAUCCAAGUAGAGGCAUAGCGAACUGCGCACGGAGAAGCCUUAAUGAAGGGCCGUUGGACCCGGGUUCAAUUCCCGGCAGCUCCACGG